GACGAACGCUGGCGGCAGGCCUAACACAUGCAAGUCGAGCGAGCGGCGGACGGGUGAGUAAUGUCUGGGAAACUGCCUGAUGGACGGGGAUAACUACUGGAAACGGUAGCUAAUACCGCAUACCAUCAGAUGGGCCCAGAGUGGAUUAGCUAGUGGGGGGGGUAACGGCUCACCUAGGCGACGAUCCCUAGCGGGUCUGAGAGGAUGACCAGCCACACUGGAACUGAGACACGGUCCAGACUCCUACGGGAGGCAGCAGUGGGGAAUAUUGCACAAUGGGCGCAAGCCUGAUGCAGCCAUGCCGCGUGUAUGAAGAAGGCCUUCGGGUUGUAAAGUACUUUCAGCGGGGAAGCGUUACCCGAAGAAGAAGCACCGGCUAACUCCGUGCCAGCAGCCGCGGUAAUAC
rnacentral:rRNA from 1 species